AGCAGCCGAUCUGUUGGAGAUCAAACAGAUCAGACCCGACGACACCACCACUACAGAGAUCAAACAGAUCGGACCCAAACUUACUCUGUUACCGCCAUCGUAAAUUAACAAAGAACACAACGAGUUUGAAUAAUUCUUAGCUAAAUUAAGCAAAACUAAAGCAAAAAAUUGACCUGCAAAUCUUCAAUUCGAGCUCGUGAAGGUUCAGAUCGUUUUUCUCCCAACCGAAAAGCCAAUCAUGCUAGAGACUUGCGGUACAUUAAUUGCUACUCUCCCAUUUUAGACAGUCGGAGAAGACGUAAGAUGACGGAGGAAGGAGGCGUUGGAAGAGGAGCUCAUCGCAGAGGAUUAUGUACAUUAUUAUUAUUGAGAAAAUGAUUUUUAUUUUUUAUUUUUAAAACCUUUUUUAAGUUAUUUACAGAGUUAGUUGAAAUGACAAACUUACCCUCAUGUGCAGGGCACAUGACUACAUUUAACCAAUAAAAUUAACUGAGUUAGGGUCAAAGGACAUAACAUGCAACAUUUAGAA